UCUUCUCUGUGGUGAAUGUUCAUGUCCAGGAAUGAAAUGGUCCGGUUUAUUUCCUCUUCCUGUGUGGAUUGUAUGUUUCCCGUGUCGUCCAUGUUGUUCAGAUGAUCAGUGAGUUCUUGUGUGUGUCCAGAUUUUAUUAUUUCCAGGAUGUCGUGGACGUAUCUUCUCCAGAGUGUGGGUCUGCAGAGCGGGGAUGGCUUUGGUUUCCAGGUCCUCCAUGAAAAAGUUACUCAUUAUGGCUGAAAGUGGAUCUUUUUUUCAACUUUAUUUUACCAGCAUUAAAACUUUGUCUGCAGAGAGAAAAGAACGACUCCGUUUUUUGCCAGACUGGAGGAUGUUGGAGGGAGUCUGUUAAUCUCUCUGGACCUGACAUUUGAAAACCUCCACCUCUCCUCACCCUCCCAGCCCACUGAUGUGAGGAAAUCCAGCUCUGAACAGACUGAACUUCUAAAUCCCUCCUGGAAGCUUCACCCUGAACAGACAACUGCAACGCCGUGGUAACGGGCAGAUUACAGCGUCAGACGUUCCUGCAGAAACCCUCAGAGCCCAGAGGGAUUCUUACCGAUGCUCAGGAGAUGGACGAGGAGAGGAAACGUUGUCCAUCCUCCAGACGGAUCUGAAGACCCGACCGGCCUCUGGGGCGGCGUUUGGUGAAGUUAUCUCUGGAGGCUGCUGGAGGAUAAAUGUGGAGAUCUGCAGAUAGAAGCCAAGAAGAUGAACGGAGCUGGAGAGGAAGAAGAUCUACG